GGACAGUCAUCGCCGAGUCCCCGUACGGCGCGAGCCAGGGGAGCCGGGGACCCAUCAGUCCCUGGGGUGAAUCGGGCGCCCGCGCGUGUCGCGAGGGGGGCCCGUAGGAGACCUUCCUGCUCCGAACCCGUCAGCUAACCCGGUAGGCGAGAGGGAAGGAAAGG
rnacentral:sRNA from 1 species